UUCCAAAUACUUCUGAAAAACAUCUUGGAAAGAAAAUGAGCACUUUGCUUGGAACUCAGCAGUUCAAGGAGAGUGUGUGUGAGGAUCCAGACUCCAGCAUGGGUCAGUUCAGAGCAGGAGGCACAUUUUGGGCUGCAAAAUGGGUGUGGAACCACCUUCAGCCUGGGAGCCUCUCGAGGCAGCAGAGAGGAAUCACUUCAGGAGGCUCUGAGACUUGGUUAUCUGAAAUAUGAAAUACAAUAAA